UGGGCAACCUGCCCCUCUCUCUGGGAUAACCCCGGGAAACCGGAGCUAAUACCGGAUACUCCGGCUGGAUCGCAUGGUCCGGCCGGGAAAGGUCCGCCGGAGAGGGAUGGGCCCGCGGCCUAUCAGCUUGUUGGUGGGGUCAUGGCUCACCAAGGCGACGACGGGUAGCUGGUCUGAGAGGACGACCAGCCACACUGGAACUGAGAUACGGUCCAGACUCCUACGGGAGGCA
rnacentral:rRNA from 1 species